CUUUAUUGGAGAGUUUGAUCCUGGCUCAGGACGAACGCUGGCGGCGUGCCUAAUACAUGCAAGUCGAGCGGAUUGAUGGGAGCUUGCUCCCUGAUAUCAGCGGCGGACGGGUGAGUAACACGUGGGCAACCUGCCUGUAAGACUGGGAUAACUUCGGGAAACCGGAGCUAAUACCGGAUAAUCCUUUUCCUCUCAUGAGGAAAAGCUGAAAGACGGUUUCGGCUGUCACUUACAGAUGG
rnacentral:rRNA from 1 species